rnacentral:tRNA from 1 species
GGACCCGUAGCCUAGCCAGGAUAGGGCACCAGCCUUCUAAGUUGGACGUCGUGGGUUCAAAUCCCACCGGGUCCG